AGUGAUGUGCUGGGAAAGAUUAAAAACAACCAACCUUAAACUAUUUAGAAUGGAAUACCUAGCCAUUCCCUUUCCUAUGAAGUUUUCAGUUUUCCACUUGUAAUUACAGCAAUCUAUAAAUUAUAUUAUAUAUUUCUCUGUCUUAGGUCCCAUGAAUAAAGACAAUCCCCAAUCCAUAUUACAUUUUCCAAGCAUCUAUGAGAUGUUGAGAGUCCUUGAAAAAAAUAUUGAAUGAUAAUCUUUUAGCUUAUUCAACUUCCUCUUAUGCCAUUUCUUUUCUUUCCUUCUUGCACUGG
rnacentral:lncRNA from 1 species